GACGAACGCUGGCGGCGUGCUUAACACAUGCAAGUCGAACGAUGAAGCGGGUGCUUGCACUCGUGGAUUAGUGGCGAACGGGCGAGUAACACGUGAGUAACCUGUCCUUUUCUUUGGGAUAACGGCUGGAAACGGCUGCUAAUACUGGAUAUUCAGGCUGCAUCGCAUGGUGUGGUUUGGAAAGGUUUUUUCUGGGAUUGGGUGGGCUCGCGGCCUAUCAGCUUGGUGGUGGGGUGAUGGCUUACCAAGGCUUUGACGGGUAGCCGGCCUGAGAGGGUGGUCGGUCGCACUGGGACUGAGAUACGGCCCAGACUCCUACGGGAGGCAGCAGUGGGGAAUAUUGCACAAUGGACGAAAGUUUGAUGCAGCGACGCCGCGUGGAGGGUGUAGGCCUUCGGGUUGUGAACUCCUUUUUCUCGCGAAAAAGGCACAGUUUUGGCUGUGUUGAUGGUAGUGGGGGAAGAAGCGCCGGCUAACUACGUG
rnacentral:rRNA from 1 species